rnacentral:rRNA from 1 species
GUACACUCCUGCGGGAGGCAGCAGUGGGGAAUAUUGGACAAUGGGCGCAAGCCUGAUCCAGCCAUGCCGCGUGAGUGAUGAAGGCCCUAGGGUUGUAAAGCUCUUUCACCGGUGAAGAUAAUGACGGUAACCGGAGAAGAAGCCCCGGCUAACUUCGUGCCAGCAGCCGCGGUAAUACGAAGGGGGCUAGCGUUGUUCGGAUUUACUGGGCGUAAAGCGCACGUAGGCGGACUAUUAAGUCAGGGGUGAAAUCCCGGGGCUCAACCCCGGAACUGCCUUUGAUACUGGUAGUCUUGAGUUCGAGAGAGGUGAGUGGAAUUCCGAGUGUAGAGGUGAAAUUCGUAGAUAUUCGGAGGAACACCAGUGGCGAAGGCGGCUCACUGGCUCGAUACUGACGCUGAGGUGCGAAAGCGUGGGGAGCAAACAGGAUUAGAUACCCUUGUAGUCCCAUG